rnacentral:rRNA from 1 species
GACGAACGCUGGCGGCGUGCUUAACACAUGCAAGUCGUACGGUAAGGCCCUUUCGGGGGUACACGAGUGGCGAACGGGUGAGUAACACGUGAGUAACCUGCCCACAACUUUGGGAUAACGCUAGGAAACUGGUGCUAAUACUGGAUAUGUGCUCCUGCUGCAUGGUGGGGGUUGGAAAGCUCCGGCGGUUGUGGAUGGACUCGCGGCCUAUCAGCUUGUUGGUGGGGUAGUGGCCUACCAAGGCGGCGACGGGUAGCCGGCCUGAGAGGGUGACCGGCCACAUUGGGACUGAGAGACGGCCCAGACGCCUACGGGAGGCAGCAGGGGGGAAUAUUGCACAAUGGGCGCAAGCCUGAUGCAGCAACGCCGCGGGCGGGAUGACGGCCUUCGGGUUGUAAACCGCUUUCAGCAGGGACGAAGCUUUUUGUGACGGUACCUGCAGAAGAAGCACCGGCUAACUACGUG